rnacentral:rRNA from 1 species
CAGUCGCCGCGGGAAUACGAGGGGUGCAAGCGUUACUCGGAAUUACUGGGCGUAAAGCGUGCGUAGGUGGUGGUUUAAGUCCGUUGUGAAAGCCCUGGGCUCAACCUGGGAAUUGCAGUGGAUACUGGAUCACUAGAGUGUGGUAGAGGAUAGUGGAAUUUCCGGUGUAGCAGUGAAAUGCGUAGAGAUCGGAAGGAACAUCUGUGGCGAAGGCGACUAUCUGGGCCAACACUGACACUGAGGCACGAAAGCGUGGGGAGCAAACAGGAUUAGAUACCCCUGUAGUCCCUGUCUCUUAUAC